AGGAUUAGAUACCCUGGUAGUCCACGCCGUAAACGAUGUCAACUAGUUGUUGGGGAUUCAUUUCCUUAGUAACGUAGCUAACGCGUGAAGUUGACCGCCUGGGGAGUACGGUCGCAAGAUUAAAACUCAAAGGAAUUGACGGGGACCCGCACAAGCGGUGGAUGAUGUGGAUUAAUUCGAUGCAACGCGAAAAACCUUACCUACCCUUGACAUGGUCGGAACCCUGGUGAGAGCUGGGGGUGCUCGAAAGAGAACCGACACACAGGUGCUGCAUGGCUGUCGUCAGCUGCUGUGUCGUGAGAUGUUGGGUUAAGUCCCGCAACGAGCGCAACCCUUGUCCUUAGUUGAUACGCAAGAGCACUCUAAGGAGACUGCCGGUGACAAACCGGAGGAAGGUGGGGAUGACGUCAAGUCCUCAUGGCCCUUAUGGGUAGGGCUUCACACGUCAUACAAUGGUCGGAACAGAGGGUCGCUAAGCCGCGAGGUGGAGCCAAUCCCAGAAAACCGAUCGUAGUCCGGAUCGUAGUCUGCAACUCGACUACGUGAAGCUGGAAUCGCUAGUAAUCGCGGAUCAGCAUGCCGCGGUGAAUACGUUCCCGGGUCUUGUACAGCACCGCCCGUCACCACCCAUGGGAGUGGGUUUUACCAGAAUGUGGCUAGUCUAACCGCAAUGGAGGACCGGUCAUCCACGGUAGGAUUCAUGAUCUGGGGUGAAGUC
rnacentral:rRNA from 1 species